UCAGGCUCUUCCACAGAUACUGAGACAGUUCCACUGGAGGGGGAGUAUAUAGAGGAGCACAGGGGUCUGUACAAGGACGUGAUGAUGGAGAAUCACCGGCCCCUCACAUCACUGGAUGGACCCAGUAACAGAGAUACCCCAGAGAGAUGUCCCCGUCCUCUGUAUUCCCAGGAUUGUACAGAGGAGAAUCACAGGAUCCCACAGGAGG